AUUGAACGCUGGCGGCGUGCUUAACACAUGCAAGUCGUGCGGUAACAGGCGUAGCAAUACGUGCUGACGAGCGGCGAACGGGUGCGUAAUACAUGGGAAUCUGCCCUUUAGUGGGGAAUAACCCGGCGAAAGCCGGGCUAAUGCCGCAUAAGAUCUUCGGAUGAAAGCGGGGGAUCGUAAGACCUCGCGCUGAUGGAUGAGCCCAUGUCGGAUUAGCUAGNGGUGAGGUAACGGCUCACCAAGGCGACGAUCCGUAGCUGGUCUGAGAGGACGGCCAGCCACACUGGGACUGAGACACGGCCCAGACUCCUACGGGAGGCAGCAGUGGGGAAUAUUGGACAAUGGGCGAAAGCCUGAUCCAGCGACGCCGCGUGUGUGAAGAAGGCCUGCGGGUU
rnacentral:rRNA from 1 species